UAGCCGUAAACGAUACUCGCUAGGUGUCGGCCACGGUGCGACCGUUGUCGGUGCCGUAGGGAAGCCGUGAAGCGAGCCACCUGGGAAGUACGGCCGCAAGGCUGAAACUUAAAGGAAUUGGCGGGGGAGCACCACAACGGGUGGAGCUUGCGGUUUAAUUGGAUUCAACGCCGGGAAGCUCACCGGAUAAGACAGCGGAAUGAUUGCCGGGCUGAAGACCCUGCAUGACCAGCUGAGAGGAGGUGCAUGGCGUAGUCCGUGU
rnacentral:rRNA from 1 species